rnacentral:misc_RNA from 1 species
AAUGGGCGUUUAAACGUCGAAAUAUCUCAAACUGGAAAGAAAUAUCGCUUAGUUUUCGAUCAAAUCGAAGAAUGAUGGAAUUUUAAGAGCUGAAUGCGCUUGCAUCGACACUGGCUAUCGCGCGCACUGGGUUCUGCGUGCAGAAUGGAAUAAAAUGGUAGUUUAAACGUCGAAAUAUAUCACACGCGGAAGAAAUAACGCGUAGUUUUCGGUCAAAUUGAAGAAUGAUUGAAUUUUAAGAGCUGAAUACGAUUGCAUCGACACUGGCUAUCGCGCGCACUACGUUCUGCGUGUAAAAUGUAUAAAAUGGGCGUUUAAACGUCGAAAUAUCUCACAGGCGGAAGAAAUAACGCGUAGAUUUCGAUCAAAUCGAAGAAUGAUUGAAUUUUAAGAGCUGAAUGCG